rnacentral:rRNA from 1 species
UACGUAGGGUGCAAGCGUUAAUCGGAAUUACUGGGCGUAAAGCGUGCGCAGGCGGCUUUGCAAGACAGAUGUGAAAUCCCCGGGCUUAACCUGGGAACUGCAUUUGUGACUGCAUGGCUGGAGUGCGGCAGAGGGGGAUGGAAUUCCGCGUGUAGCAGUGAAAUGCGUAGAUAUGCGGAGGAACACCGACGGCGAAGGCAAUCCCCUGGGCCUGCACUGACGCUCAUGCACGAAAGCGUGGGGAGCAAACAGG